rnacentral:rRNA from 2 species
UUAAGCGACUAAGCGUACACGGUGGAUGCCCUGGCAGUCAGAGGCGAUGAAGGACGUGCUAAUCUGCGAUAAGCGUCGGUAAGGUGAUAUGAACCGUUAUAACCGGCGAUUUCCGAAUGGGGAAACCCAGUGUGUUUCGACACACUAUCAUUAACUGAAUCCAUAGGUUAAUGAGGCGAACCGGGGGAACUGAAACAUCUAAGUACCCCGAGGAAAAGAAAUCAACCGAGAUUCCCCCAGUAGCGGCGAGCGAACGGGGAGGAGCCCAGAGCCUGAAUCAGUGUGUGUGUUAGUGGAAGCGUCUGGAAAGGCGCGCGAUACAGGGUGACAGCCCCGUACACAAAAAUGCACAUGCUGUGAGCUCGAUGAGUAGGGCGGGACACGUGGUAUCCUGUCUGAAUAUGGGGGGACCAUCCUCCAAGGCUAAAUACUCCUGACUGACCGAUAGUGAACCAGUACCGUGAGGGAAAGGCGAAAAGAACCCCGGCGAGGGGAGUGAAAAAGAACCUGAAACCGUGUACGUACAAGCAGUGGGAGCCUCUUUAUGGGGUGACUGCGUACCUUUUGUAUAAUGGGUCAGCGACUUAUAUUCUGUAGCAAGGUUAACCGAAUAGGGGAGCCGAAGGGAAACCGAGUCUUAACUGGGCGUUAAGUUGCAGGGUAUAGACCCGAAACCCGGUGAUCUAGCCAUGGGCAGGUUGAAGGUUGGGUAACACUAACUGGAGGACCGAACCGACUAAUGUUGAAAAAUUAGCGGAUGACUUGUGGCUGGGGGUGAAAGGCCAAUCAAACCGGGAGAUAGCUGGUUCUCCCCGAAAGCUAUUUAGGUAGCGCCUCGUGAAUUCAUCUCCGGGGGUAGAGCACUGUUUCGGCAAGGGGGUCAUCCCGACUUACCAACCCGAUGCAAACUGCGAAUACCGGAGAAUGUUAUCACGGGAGACACACGGCGGGUGCUAACGUCCGUCGUGAAGAGGGAAACAACCCAGACCGCCAGCUAAGGUCCCAAAGUCAUGGUUAAGUGGGAAACGAUGUGGGAAGGCCCAGACAGCCAGGAUGUUGGCUUAGAAGCAGCCAUCAUUUAAAGAAAGCGUAAUAGCUCACUGGUCGAGUCGGCCUGCGCGGAAGAUGUAACGGGGCUAAACCAUGCACCGAAGCUGCGGCAGCGACACUAUGUGUUGUUGGGUAGGGGAGCGUUCUGUAAGCCUGUGAAGGUGUACUGUGAGGUAUGCUGGAGGUAUCAGAAGUGCGAAUGCUGACAUAAGUAACGAUAAAGCGGGUGAAAAGCCCGCUCGCCGGAAGACCAAGGGUUCCUGUCCAACGUUAAUCGGGGCAGGGUGAGUCGACCCCUAAGGCGAGGCCGAAAGGCGUAGUCGAUGGGAAACAGGUUAAUAUUCCUGUACUUGGUGUUACUGCGAAGGGGGGACGGAGAAGGCUAUGUUGGCCGGGCGACGGUUGUCCCGGUUUAAGCGUGUAGGCUGGUUUUCCAGGCAAAUCCGGAAAAUCAAGGCUGAGGCGUGAUGACGAGGCACUACGGUGCUGAAGCAACAAAUGCCCUGCUUCCAGGAAAAGCCUCUAAGCAUCAGGUAACAUCAAAUCGUACCCCAAACCGACACAGGUGGUCAGGUAGAGAAUACCAAGGCGCUUGAGAGAACUCGGGUGAAGGAACUAGGCAAAAUGGUGCCGUAACUUCGGGAGAAGGCACGCUGAUAUGUAGGUGAAGCGACUUGCUCGUGGAGCUGAAAUCAGUCGAAGAUACCAGCUGGCUGCAACUGUUUAUUAAAAACACAGCACUGUGCAAACACGAAAGUGGACGUAUACGGUGUGACGCCUGCCCGGUGCCGGAAGGUUAAUUGAUGGGGUUAGCGGUAACGCGAAGCUCUUGAUCGAAGCCCCGGUAAACGGCGGCCGUAACUAUAACGGUCCUAAGGUAGCGAAAUUCCUUGUCGGGUAAGUUCCGACCUGCACGAAUGGCGUAAUGAUGGCCAGGCUGUCUCCACCCGAGACUCAGUGAAAUUGAACUCGCUGUGAAGAUGCAGUGUACCCGCGGCAAGACGGAAAGACCCCGUGAACCUUUACUAUAGCUUGACACUGAACAUUGAGCCUUGAUGUGUAGGAUAGGUGGGAGGCUUUGAAGUGUGGACGCCAGUCUGCAUGGAGCCGGCCUUGAAAUACCACCCUUUAAUGUUUGAUGUUCUAACGUUGGCCCCUGAUCGGGGUUGCGGACAGUGUCUGGUGGGUAGUUUGACUGGGGCGGUCUCCUCCUAAAGAGUAACGGAGGAGCACGAAGGUUGGCUAAUCCUGGUCGGACAUCAGGAGGUUAGUGCAAUGGCAUAAGCCAGCUUGACUGCGAGCGUGACGGCGCGAGCAGGUGCGAAAGCAGGUCAUAGUGAUCCGGUGGUUCUGAAUGGAAGGGCCAUCGCUCAACGGAUAAAAGGUACUCCGGGGAUAACAGGCUGAUACCGCCCAAGAGUUCAUAUCGACGGCGGUGUUUGGCACCUCGAUGUCGGCUCAUCACAUCCUGGGGCUGAAGUAGGUCCCAAGGGUAUGGCUGUUCGCCAUUUAAAGUGGUACGCGAGCUGGGUUUAGAACGUCGUGAGACAGUUCGGUCCCUAUCUGCCGUGGGCGCUGGAGAACUGAGGGGGGCUGCUCCUAGUACGAGAGGACCGGAGUGGACGCAUCACUGGUGUUCGGGUUGUCAUGCCAAUGGCACUGCCCGGUAGCUAAAUGCGGAAGAGAUAAGUGCUGAAAGCAUCUAAGCACGAAACUUGCCCCGAGAUGAGUUCUCCCUGAGACUUAGAGUCUCCUGAAGGAACGUUGAAGACGACGACGUUGAUAGGCCGGGUGUGUAAGCGCAGCGAUGCGUUGAGCUAACCGGUACUAAUGAACCGUGAGGCUUAACCUU